UAACCUGCCUGGUAGCGGGGGAUAACUAUUGGAAACGAUAGCUAAUACCGCAUAAGAGUAGAUGUUGCAUGACAUUUGCUUAAAAGGUGCAAUUGCAUCACUACCAGAUGGACCUGCGUUGUAUUAGCUAGUUGGUGGGGUAACGGCUCACCAAGGCGACGAUACAUAGCCGACCUGAGAGGGUGAUCGGCCACACUGGGACUGAGACACGGCCCAG
rnacentral:rRNA from 1 species